rnacentral:rRNA from 1 species
CGAGCGGUAAGGGCUCCACAAUUUGCUUAAACGGCGAGACAGGUCGAGGAAAUUUCUUUAGAAAUUUCCUCAUCUAAAACGAAGUGAUGAACUUCGGUCGAAACCAAUCUAUCUCUGGCUAGGGAAAAGAGUUUGAGCAAGGUUGUGGAGUUACACGAGCGGCGGACGGCUGAGUAACGCGUAGGAACGUACCCCAAAGUGAGGGAUAAGCACCAGAAAUGGUGUCUAAUACCGCAUGUGAUCUUCGGAUGAAAGCCCUCGGGCGCUUUGGGAACGGCCUGCGUAUGAUUAGCUUGUUGGUGAGGUAACGGCUCACCCAAGGCGACGAUCAUUAGCUGGUCUGAGAGGAUGAUCAGCCAGACUGGGACUGAGAACGGCCCAGACUCCUACGGGAGGCAGCAGUAGGGAAUUUUCACAAUGGGGGCAACCCUGAUGGAGCAACGCCGCGUGCAGGAUGAAGGCUUUCGGGUCGUAAACUGCUUUUAUUUGUGACGAUUAUGACAGUAGCAAAUGAAUAAGGAUCGGCUAACUCCGUGCCAGCAGCC